GAGCCAUACCAGACUAAAAUCUAGAAUAAUAUUCGCAACCUCUGAGGUCAUACCGGACUAAAAUUUGGAUUAAUAUUUAUAUCCUCCGGGGCUAUCCGGACUAAAAUUUGGAUUUAUAUUUAUGCCCUUCGGAGCUUUACCGAUCUGACAUCUGGAUUAGUAUUUAUGCCCUUCAGAGUUUUAUUAGACUAAAAUCUGGAUUAAUAUUUACACCCUUCAUAGCUUUAUCGGACUGAAAUCUGAAUUAAUAUUUAUGUCCUUCGGAGCUUUACCAACUCAGAGAUUGGGUUUAGGAGAUCUUAUCCCCAUUCAUGCCUCUCGAGGCUAUAUCAGAAUAAAAUUUAGAUUAAUAUUUGUACCCUUUAGAGCUUUAUCGGAUUAAAAUCUGGAUUAAUAUUUAUGUCCUUUGG
rnacentral:lncRNA from 1 species